rnacentral:rRNA from 1 species
UACGUAGGGUGCAAGCGUUGUCCGGAAUUAUUGGGCGUAAAGAGCUCGUAGGCGGUCUGUCGCGUCGGAUGUGAAAAUCCAGGGCUCAACCCUGGACCUGCAUUCGAUACGGGCAGACUAGAGUUCGGUAGGGGAGACUGGAAUUCCUGGUGUAGCGGUGAAAUGCGCAGAUAUCAGGAGGAACACCGGUGGCGAAGGCGGGUCUCUGGGCCGAAACUGACGCUGAGGAGCGGAAAGCGUGGGGAGCAAACAGG